AUCUAGGUUAAACCCCUUUAACCCCAUAAGUAAUAGAUCUAAUCUAUACUACCUAAGCCUCUGGAUCUAUGAUAUGCACAUAAUCUAAAAAAUGAAAGAGAAAAUAUUGAGAUUGAAUCUCAAUACCUUUACACGGGUCGAUCUAUACUGCAGCCAAUGAUCGUGGAUCUGAAUAGAUUUCUUUAGUUGCAUACGCAUCCGACCUCUAUAGAUAUCUAUAUGAGGACCUAUUUUGAUCAGAGGUAGGUAUCUUCAUCGGGAUGCUAGCUCUCUUGCAGAAGACUUCUCUUUGAUGGCUAAAGUUGUUCUCUCACAGAUCGCACAGACUCUCUUGAGAACUAGGAAGAAUGGGAGGAGGAAGAAAGAGGGCUAGUCUUUUUUUUUUCCUUACUUUUCUUAAGGCGUCCAAGUAUUGGACCCUUUUUAUAAGAGGCACUA
rnacentral:lncRNA from 1 species